rnacentral:rRNA from 1 species
ACAGGGAUUGCCUUAGUAACGGCGAGUGAAGCGGCAAAAGCUCAGAUUUGAAAUCUAGCGUCUUAUAGGCGUUCGAGUUGUAAUCUGUAGAGAAGUUAUCGAGUGUGGAUUUGGCCUAAGUUCUUUGGAACAGGACGUCAUAGAGGGUGAGAACCCCGUAUACGGCCUUGGUCUUAUACUCAUGUGAGGCUUCUUCAACGAGUCGAGUUGUUUGGGAAUGCAGCUCUAAAUGGGUGGUAAACUCCAUCUAAAGCUAAAUACUGGCAAGAGACCGAUAGCGCACAAGUAGAGUGAUCGAAAGAUGAAAAGAACUCUGAACAGAGAGUUAAAUAGUACGUGAAAUUGUUGAAAGGGAAGCACUUGCUACCAGACUCGCUUGCAGUUAAUCAACUAUCCUUCUGGGUGGUGCACUUUUCUGUAGGCGGGCCAGCAUCAGUUGUGUUGGUGGGAUAAAGGCAGUUGGAAUGUGGCUCUCCUCGGAGAGUGUUAUAGACUUCUGUGUAAUACCGCCUAACGCGACUGAGGUCAGCGCUUUUGCGAGGAUGCUGGCAUAAUGGUCGUAAGUGACCCGUCUUGAAACACGGACCAAGGAGUCUAACAUCUAUGCGAGUG